rnacentral:rRNA from 1 species
UGGGGAAUAUUGCACAAUGGGCGAAAGCCUGAUGCAGCAACGCCGCGUGAGUGAUGAAGGCCUUCGGGUUGUAAAGCUCUGUCUUCUGGGACGAUAAUGACGGUACCAGAGGAGGAAGCCACGGCUAACUACGUGCCAGCAGCCGCGGUAAUACGUAGGUGGCAAGCGUUGUCCGGAUUUACUGGGCGUAAAGGAUGCGUAGGCGGAUACUUAAGUCAGAUGUGAAAAUCCCGGGCUUAACUUGGGAACGGCAUUUGAAACUGGGUAUCUAGAGUGCGGGAGAGGAAAGUGGAAUUCCUAGUGUAGCGGUGAAAUGCGUAGAGAUUAGGAAGAACACCAGUGGCGAAGGCGACUUUCUGGACCGUAACUGACGCUGAGGCAUGAAAGCGUGGGGAGCAAACA